rnacentral:rRNA from 1 species
GACGAACGCUGGCGGCGUGCUUAACACAUGCAAGUCGAACGAAGUGGCGCACGGGUGAGUAAGGAGUAAUCACACUGCCAUUCAGAGGGGGACAACAGGUGGAAACGACUGCUAAUACCGCAUACUGAAGGAGGGGAUUGCGGCGGAGUAGCUAGUUGGAGGGGUAACGGCCCACAAAGGCGAUGAUCAGUAGCCGGUCUGAGAGGAUGAACGGCCAAAUUUGGACUGAGACACGGCCCAGACUCCUACGGGAGGCAGCAGUGGGGAAUCUUCCGCAAUGGACGAAAGUCUGACGGAGCAACGCCGCGUGAGUGAUGACGGCCUUCGGGUUGUAAAGCUCUGUUAAUCGGGACGCGGUACCGGAAUAGAAAGCCACGGCUAACUACGUGCCAGCAGCCGCGGUAAUAC